UUUUUGCGUCUCCAGCACAGGCGAAGCACUGUAAAAUAUAGAUGGAAGUUUACUAUGUAUUUUGCAAUCAUUUAACUGAAGCUGAAAUGACAAAGAAGUUUACUGUUAUUUCAAAAGCAAAUCGCUCACCAUGUAAAGAACAAUGAAGGGCAGGUGUGUCCAGCUCCUUUUACAGAUGAGGAAACUGAGGCUUUGGAACGUGUCAGAGGUCACUCGGCUGGUUUCUCCAGAAGCAGACACAAGGAUUCUAGGGAAACUGGAGGUGAUCCCCAAAACAGAGGUAAGAAUGGGAGAAAGUAAGACACGAAAAGGAAAGAAGCCAAGGAAGUGGGUCGACUGGAGCUUAACCCUCUUGGGGAGUCUGGAGGAACACUGUAGAACAGUCAUCAGGACUGUUGUUGGGUGAUAUUAAACAUCGGUGCUUCUGACCUGGGGCACUCCAGCAGCCAGAGGGCCUUCGGCAAGGAGAGGAAGUUUGGCAGAAAUGCUCUGGCAGGAUAGACAGAGAGGAUAUAGGCGGCACCAACAGUGUCUGCCAAACCUGGAAUUUUGACAUGUCACUGGUAAUUUUCCAGCAUUCCACUGAAACCCAGGAAAAAAUAAUAAUCACUUGUCAAGGGACUGGAUUCUUUCUGGCUCCACUAAAAAUGGUUUAAGCACCAUGAAAAUACUUUAUUUAUAGUUUCUAUGAUUGUAGAGCUUCUACAGGUUGCCACCUUAUUAAAGGUGAUAAGUAAAAAUCCACCUUUUUAGUAUUAUGCUGUUAUAAGUAUUACUAUUAAAAUAUAUUGCCCUAAGUUUAUUUUCUAACUUAUUAAUAACUUGAUGGUAACGACUUAUCUGUACUUAGUGUAAUGCUUAAAUUUUAAUCCAAAAUGUCUCUUUCAUAAUUUGUCACAAAGUUUGGUAAAUUACA